AGAGUUUGAUCCUGGCUCAGGAUGAACGCUAGCGGCAGGCUUAACACAUGCAAGUCGAGGGGCAGCAAGGGUAGCAAUACCUGUUGGCGACCGGCAAACGGGUGCGGAACACGUACGCAAUCUACCUCUAUCUGGAAGAUAGCCCGGAGAAAUCCGGAUUAAUACUCCAUAGAAUAUUUAUAAGGCAUCUUAUUGAAUAUUAAAGCUCAGGCGGAUAGAGAUGAGCGUGCGUCCCAUUAGGUAGUUGGUUGAGGUAACGGCUCACCAAGCCAACGAUGGGUAGCUGAUGUGAGAGCAUGAUCAGCCACACGGGCACUGAGACACGGGCCCGACUCCUACGGGAGGCAGCAGUGAGGAAUAUUGGGCAAUGGACGCAAGUCUGACCCAGCCAUGCCGCGUGCAGGAUGAAGGCGUUCUGCGUUGUAAACUGCUUUUAUCUGGGAAGAAACCUGAGUAUUCUUAUUCAGCCGACGGUACCAGAUGAAUAAGCACCGGCUAACUCCGUGCCAGCAGCCGCGGUAAUACGGAGGGUGCAAGCGUUAUCCGGAUUCACUGGGUUUAAAGGGUGUGUAGGCGGAUAUUUAAGUCAGUGGUGAAAUCUCCAGGCUCAACCUGGAAACUGCCAUUGAUACUAUUUAUCUUGAAUUCUGUUGAGGUGGGCGGAAUACAUCAUGUAGCGGUGAAAUGCUUAGAUAUGAUGUAGAACACCGAUUGCGAAGGCAGCUCACUAAACAGAUAUUGACGCUGAGGCACGAAAGCGUGGGGAUCAAACAGGAUUAGAUACCCUGGUAGUCCACGCCGUAAACGAUGUCAACUAGCCGUUGGGAGCCUUGAGCUCUUAGUGGCGCAGCUAACGCAUUAAGUUGACCGCCUGGGGAGUACGGCCGCAAGGUUAAAACUCAAAUGAAUUGACGGGGGCCCGCACAAGCGGUGGAGCAUGUGGUUUAAUUCGA
rnacentral:rRNA from 1 species